CCUCCACGGCCUCCGAGGGACAGGCUCAGCCCUAUUGCCUUGGCGACACCAGUCUUGAAAAUAUGACAUUGGACACGAAGUAUGAAUCACAUCCUGCUUCAGCGAGCCUUUGACAAGAUGUUGCAGAAAACAGCUUUACAAUGUGGGGGGCCUGUGUGCAACUUACUGUCAGUCAGUGCUGGAGACCAGGGGCAUGGGGCCUCCAGAAGCACCUUCCACCUUCCACACAGCGCGAAAAGAAGACACACUGAUGAUGGGAAAUAUGGCCCGAGGCAGAUGGUGAGAAAGCUGUGCUGGCGGCCAGAAGGGAUCAGAGCCAGCUGGAGCCACGAGUCAGGGCAGACUCUCGAAGCUCAGUUUCCUUGGGUUAGCUCUCCAUCUAGCCCUGAGGUCGACACCCUGAACUUCUGGGACCCCAGGAAUGUGGGAUUCAGAGAGGUCAGUUCUGCUGGAGACAGUUCCACACCAAGGAUGCUUUUCCCAAGGACACGGUCUCUAUCUUCUAGGUGCCUGGACUCCACACAUGCCUAGUGCUCCUGAAAUGAAGUUCUAGAACCCACAGCCACUGGACAGGACUCUAGUGGAAAAGCAAUGCCUGUGAGUUUGCUUGGGCAGGCUUUGAACUCACUAUAUAGUUAAGUAUGAUCUUGAACCUCUCGUCCUCCUGCCUCAGCCUCCUGAGUGUUGGGAUAACUGGUGUGUUUCCUAAAAGCAAGACUAUUUCUUUACAGACUCCAGCAUACAUUCAGAGCAUGAAACUUGACCCUGAUUGCAUCCUGUUACUUGACCUGUAGACCUCAAUCUGUGCCUGCCCAUCAAUGCCUUCUUAGUAAAGGAAAACCCUAGUGCCAUGGCUGCCUCUCUCAGGCCCCUCUGAGAGGAAGCUGCCCCUGAGUCUUUGUAUUUUGUCUUUCAAGAAACACACGUCGGAUGCUUCAUAAAAUGUCAAAGAUCCCAUUGAAAAUAAAUUUAUUUUUAUUUUAU
rnacentral:lncRNA from 1 species